rnacentral:tRNA from 1 species
GCGCCGGUGGUUCAGUGGUAGAAUGCUCGCCUGCCACGCAGGCGGCCCGGGUUUGAUUCCCGGUCGGUGCA